GCCGGGUUGGUGGAAUUGGCUUACACGGAGGUCUCAAACACCUCUGCCCGAAAGGGCUUGCGGGUUCGAAUCCCGCACCCGGCA
rnacentral:tRNA from 1 species